AUUGAACGCUGGCGGCAGGCCUAACACAUGCAAGUCGAGCGGAUGACGGGAGCUUGCUCCUUGAUUCAGCGGCGGACGGGUGAGUAAUGCCUAGGAAUCUGCCUGGUAGUGGGGAACAACGUUUCGAAAGGAACGCUAAUACCGCAUACGUCCUACGGGAGAAAGCAGGGGACCUUCGGGCCUUGCGCUAUCAGAUGAGCCUAGGUCGGAUUAGCUAGUUGGUGGGGUAAUGGCUCACCAAGGCGACGAUCCGUAACUGGUCUGAGAGGAUGAGCAGUCACACUAGAACUGAGACACGGUCCAUAGUCUUACGGGAGGCAGCAGUGGCAAAUAUUGGACAAUGGGCGAAAGCCUGAUCCAGCCAUGCCGCGUGUGUGAAGAAGGUCUUCGGAUUGUAAAGCACUUUAAGUUGGGAGGAAGGGCAGUAAGUUAAUACCUUGCUGUUUUGACGUUACCGACAGAAUAAGCACCGGCUAACUCUGUGCCAGCCGCCGCAGUAA
rnacentral:rRNA from 1 species